CAGCUCUCUCUCAUUCGCUCCAUCUACACUCAACGGGUCCUUUGCAAGAUCCCAUGAGAAUGAAGAUGAAUGACACGUGGUUCCAAAUGGUCUCGGGUUUUGCUAGUCCAGUUGCUGCUCUGGCUGCAGGAAGGUUCAGAGAGAUGAACCCACAAAGGUGUGAUGAUGGUGACCUGACUGGCAGUAUGGGACCAGGUCUCCAUGCUUUUGGAUCUGGCUUGAAUGUUCUUGGCUGAGUUUCAGCAUACCCUGUCAGCUGAGAUUGUUACCCUCAUCUGGAGGACGAAGUGGUCGAUGGAUGUGCUUCCACAAGAAAAAGUGGACUGGUAGUUUGUCCAGGGUGGACCCUGCUGUGACCCUUGUGUGGAGGAUAAAGCAGUGGGUGGAUCUACUUCCACAAGACAAAUGUAUUUGAGCCUGGCUGAAGAAAUCAUCACAGCCUUUUGACCAAAUGGCAUCAUGAGCGGUUAUGUGGACAAGAUGUCUCACAAGAAUGAGGUUAUCGCCCAUUAAGGCCUGGCUGGGACUGGAUCGUUUGAGGAAAGUGCUGCAUCUCUUGGCCUUACCAUGGAAUGCAUCCAAGUCCUUGGGUUCAAGCAGUGUGAGCCAGCUCCUCUCUGGAGAGGAACAUUGUUCUAUACACAAGCCAUUUAUGGGUUGCAACAAGGAAGCAUGCUGGCAUUAUACACUGUCCAGACUUUGUGAUCCUGUAGAAAAUGGCGUUUAAAACCAUCUUUGGCAAAAGUGAUUUCAAUGUUCCUGGAGAUAUUGAGCUUGAAUACAUAUUCAAUGAAAUUUGAACAAUGGUUCUUUCAGUCUCCUUGCAUUACCAGAAUUGUUCAAUUUUUAAUAAAUAAUUGAAAUAAA